CAGCUCCCCAUACUCACACUAUUAGUGGUAUUGUGUUCAUCGAGUCAUGCAGACAAACUAGCGGCAUACUCCCUGUCGGUAUGAGAUACUGACCUUUUACAGGGGAAACCAGGAAUAGAUCUCCAGCUCAUCUUUGGAUAAUAAGUCCCCAUGAGUUGCAUGCAUUCAUCUCUUUUUGUGUACCUUUAAUGCAUUUUACUCUUUGCGGGUAUGGUUUAAUAACUUCUGUGUACCAGGAGAGCAAAAUGAGUCAAACAAAGGGUAAGUUGUGUUUAGGUGUUUGUGGAUCUUAUCGGCGCCUUUGUGUGUGUGUGUCUGUGUGUAUGUGUGUGUGUGUAUAUUUCAUGUCAUUACAAAGCCAGUUAAGAAGCUGCUGUUUUGUCUGCAACGGCAGCACAGAUGUGCAUGGUUAGCGCUGUCAGGGGCAAUGACACCACUAUCAUUAGCUUUACAAGCCCCUUUAUUAUCACCUCUACCAGCAGGAGGAUUCCAUACGUAUUUACAUCGACUCCACCAGAUGUUAUCCACCCAUCCUUUUGUCUAUUCCUUCCAUCAUUUUUUGUCUUCUUUUGUUCAGGUUUUGUUCUCAAUUGGAUUGUUAAGAAGCCGUAUUUCGUGUUUAGUGGUGUAUUAAUUCAAUGGGGUAUACUAUUUAUACAGGCCGGCCAAACCAAACCAAGAAACCGGCCAAACCAAAUAAGGAAGACCCACACUGGAUUGUUUUGCAACAAAGGAUGUCAAAGGUUAAACUCCCCCCACACUCCUCAUGUUGUUGGUAUGGCCCAUCAACCCUGUCCAGGUGUUAUGGACAGUGGUAUGCAUUGAGACCACUCCCCUUUGACAGGUGAACCAGAAAACUGUUGAAAGGAGUAGGUUAAAAUAUGUUAGAAAAUGGCUUAAAUAAGAAACCAAGUCAAACUAAGAUACAAGCCCUCUCAUUGUUGUACCCUCAGUCGCAUAGGUAUGUUGGUAAAAAAAAAACAUUUUAAUGGUUGCGUCUGGGUAUUGUGAAUCAUAGUCUGACCCUGAAUAUAAAGAGAUAAGGGGUGUAGUCUGGCUGUAGGAGAGAACGAUGCAGGCAUCACAAACACACCCAGGGCUCUGACCGGGUGAAGGUCCUACACAGUCCCCCCUCUGUUGUUCUGCAGUUCACCUCAUGCCCGUGUCUGCUGAGCCAGAUUAGCUAGUCACCUUUUCCCCCCUCCCCUCCAUGUUAUUAAGUCAUUCCUGUUAUCACACUCCACAUGAUGUCAUUCCUUCCUGAUCACUACCUUCCUUUCUCCCUCCCUCCCUUCCUUCAUUAACUCCCCCUCCCUCUCUCACACGCACACACACACACACGCACACGCACACGCACACAAACUGCUUGUUUUUGCCUCCCUUUUUUGGUAUUUUCAUUUGAGUCUUUUAUGACUUUUAUCCAUAAAAUGCCCUCCUUUCUCCUCUUCUACGUUUUGAAGUUUUUUCUGUCUUAUCUUCAUUCAUUAAUUCAUGGUUGAUUUCAUUACACACCAUCACUCUUGAUGGAGCAGUUAUAUAAAAACAUCUCUGCUGAAGCAGUCAUGAUACUUUUUAUCAGUUACAUUUGAUCAACUAUAUUUAGGAUGGAAAAAGGAACUGGAACUGUACCGUUAAAUGACAGAUGGCAAAUGGACCACUGGGUGAGCAAUGCAAUUACUUUGGCAUUUUGGUUGCUCCCAGUCACCUCUGCAUGAUAGUAGCCACGGGCGUUAUGCACCGAGCAGUCAUAUUGGUUCUAAACCGUACCUUCUAGACGCUUCUAAAGGUUCCCCCCCGAUGCUACCAAGAGGCCAUUGGCUAGGGCUUAAACAUGUUGUUAUUACCCCUUACUGGAUGACAACCACAUUGUUAAUUUAUAUCUCAUAUAUUUCUUAUCAAGGUUUAAAUCUCCAAAAAAAGUUCAUAAAUGCACUAUAUUGUGGGUUUCCAUCCUUCAGUGCUGUUUUAAGUAUCUUCUUGGUUCUUAAAUCGACACGGAGGAAGCGUACUGCACUACAACUACUCCAGCCAGAUUAUCAGAUAGUUGCUUCAAUAAUACUUCUGCAUUCCUCUGCAGAAAUUAAAUCAACGAUUCUCUCCCUGGUUGUCUCACUAAUUCCGACCCAGUUGCCCAGAAGGCCUCAAGUGAACCUCUGCCUUGAAGGAUGUAUCAGCGAUGUUGGGGGACGUCACUUCCGUUGGUAUUUGAACCGAGAUCCCAAACAAACAGAGCCAGCUCGCCCCUCCCUACCGUGUUCGUGCAUCCAGUAAAAACUAUCAUGAACACCCGCCCCUUGACGGUGAUUGGUUGGAAUACUAUUUAUUUUGGUUUUGAGUGGGCGAUAGUACCAUUUGUUUGUCUCGGAGCAUACUAGGCUGCCUACAGAGACAUGAUUUUUUUGACGGCCUGCUUAUGGGGCGGGCAGCUAGCGGAUCGUGAGGGAAGAUCCGAUGAAUGUGAUAGUUUAUGUAUCGGCCUAGAAUCGCUGAUACAACCUUUAAGAUCGUGCACUGCACGCUGAUGGGGACUCAGUGCCUUCGAUGUGGCCCAACGAGCCUGGGCUUCCUCCUCCUCUCAGUGAUGCAGCCACGGCCAUGGAGCCUUCUGGUUCUGGGCUAGCUCAAGGCAGUGUGUCGAAGCAGCACCAGUUCUCCAUCACGCGCCAAGUCUUUGUCCGACAGGCAGCCAAGGACCGUGCACGUGAUGCGGGGUUGUACUACGUCCUCUUGUUGUGCCAGGGCUGGGCAAGACGGCAGCCAUAUUGAUCUACAAUCUGUUAUUUAAGUGUUGCAAAGCUGCCUGUGAAAAAAGUGAAAUAAUAUCAAAGAAAAAUAAAUGUAGUCUUUCCUCAGGCACCUGUCUACCAGCCCACAUCAGUCUGACAGGAUUUUAGUAGCAUGUAGGUCGGCCCGGCUCUGGAGCAGCUGCGAUGGCUCACAUAAUUUUCCCCCGUUUCUAGAAUGAUAAGCAGAGAGCCGGACUUAUUCCAUCUCUCAUGGCAACUCUGACUCAGUGUUGUCUUAAGGGGGCGGGUUGAAGACCGGCUAAAAAUAAACUCUAAGACUUGGGUUCUCUCUGCUGAUUAUUUCUGGAAUCAGUCACCCAGUCUACUCUUACCGACCCACUACCACCACUGGGUUUGUGAGGGGCCUGCCAUGUGUAUCACUCCUCUCUGCUGCUUUCGGUCAGUAGUCUUGGUACCAAUUCAAACACAAACAGUUUACUCUGGUGGUGUCUACAGUCUGGUAGCGAAGGUGAUGGACGCCUGUCAAACAAGUGAUCUGUUACUUGCUUUGGCCUAUUUGUUGAUCUGCCAGCUGUGUGUGUGUGUGUGUGUGUGUGUGUGUGUGUGUGUGUGUGUGUGUGUGUGUGUGUGUGUGUGUGUGUGUGUGUGUGUGUGUGUGUGUGUGUGUGUGUGUGUGUGUGUGUGGCUGCGCGUGUUAGAGAGCUAUACAGUUGGAGAGAUUAUAUUAUGCUAUUUUCAGACAUGAACAAGGUGUUAAAGAUCCCAAUUUCAAUAAACAUGAUAUGCAAGCAACACGCAACGGAGAGAAACGGCUUGGACAAUACACCGAGAUGGAUUGCCUUCAGCCUUUUUAUCUUCUCCUGGCCCCUGUUCCAUUCCCUUAGAAGCAGUGCCCACCUGGAAUAGUCUGGCCCUGUUUCAUGGCCUGCCUUUCAGCACACUGUUUAUAUGAGCUCCUCUGUGUGUGUGUGUGUGUGUGUGUGUGUGUGUGUGUGUGUGUGUGUGUGUGUGUGUGUAUACAUGUCUACCACACAUUGGUAUACAGAUGCCUGAGUUGAGUGAGUUCCCUACUGUACGUCAUCGGUGCCGUCUUUCUCCUUUUAAGGAAGGCCGGCUGCAGACAGACCACUUCUCCUCGCUUCCUUUGUCCUGAAAUGCUCUCUUCUCGAAUCAAGAGGAAAAACACGAGGCCAGAUCUUGAUUUGCGGUGUGUGGGGGGGGGGAGUUUGAAAUAAAUUGCCACUCAAAUAAUUUGUAUCAAAAACAAAAUGGGUAUAUCGGACUACCCACAACGAUCACGUGUGUGGGGCAAGCAUAUAAAUAGUGCAUUUGUUUCACUUGCAAGAAUAUGAAUAUCUUUGGGUAAGUACACGGAUGUCGUUUCUGUGGCGUCCGUUUGGAUCCGUCUCAAGGUUUCCUUUGUGGUCCAGAGGAGACUAAGGCCUGUGACUCAGCAAUGCUGCAGUCCACACAGAUGUUGAGAGGCCAGAACGACUUCCCAACCUGUUAAUUAUAGAACAUGCCUAUUUUUACACGGUUCCUCAGGCAUACCAAGCGCACGUGCGCGUGCACACACACACACACACACACACACACACACACACACACACACACACACACACACACACACACACACACACACACACACACACACACACACACAGGGACACACACACACACACACACACACAGGGACACACACAAACACUGACACACACACACAGGGACACACACACACAAACACUGACACACACACACAGGGACACACACACACAAACA